rnacentral:rRNA from 1 species
ACAUGCAGUCGAGCGGACAGAAGGGAGCUUGCUCCCGGAUGUUAGCGGCGGACGGGUGAGUAACACGUGGGUAACCUGCCUGUAAGACUGGGAUAACUCCGGGAAACCGGAGCUAAUACCGGAUAGUUCCUUGAACCGCAUGGUUCAAGGAUGAAAGACGGUUUCGGCUGUCACUUACAGAUGGACCCGCGGCGCAUUAGCUAGUUGGUGAGGUAACGGCUCACCAAGGCGACGAUGCGUAGCCGACCUGAGAGGGUGAUCGGCCACACUGGGACUGAGACACGGCCCAGACUCCUACGGGAGGCAGCAGUAGGGAAUCUUCCGCAAUGGACGAAAGUCUGACGGAGCAACGCCGCGUGAGUGAUGAAGGUUUUCGGAUCGUAAAGCUCUGUUGUUAGGGAAGAACAAGUGCAAGAGUAACUGCUUGCACCUUGACGGUACCUAACCAGAAAGCCACGGCUAACUACGUGCCAGCAGCCGCGGUAAUACGUAGGUGGCAAGCGUUGUCCGGAAUUAUUGGGCGUAAAGGGCUCGCAGGCGGUUUCUUAAGUCUGAUGUGAAAGCCCCCGGCUCAACCGGGGAGGGUCAUUGGAAACUGGGAAACUUGAGUGCAGAAGAGGAGAGUGGAAUUCCACGUGUAGCGGUGAAAUGCGUAGAGAUGUGGAGGAACACCAGUGGCGAAGGCGACUCUCUGGUCUGUAACUGACGCUGAGGAGCGUUGUUGCGGUCC